rnacentral:lncRNA from 1 species
AUAACCAGAGCAAGGUCAGCAUUCCCACUUGCUCCUUUCUUUUCUGAGCAGUGUUUUCAUUCACCUCUCCAUGCACAGGUUACUAUUGUCCAGCAGGGACUGCUGCUCCCCUGCCCUGCCCCGAGGGGACACUGAAUGCCUUGGAGGGGGCCCUGGCCCUCGCUGCCUGUAAGCUGUGUCCUGUGGGGAGGUACUGCAGAGGAGAUGCUAACUGGGAACCUGACGGUCUGUGUUCAGCUGGGUACUACUGUGAGGGGGGAGCCACGGAUGCUGUUCCACACGGGACUCCUGGGUUCCCCCUCAGCGGUCCCUGCCCACCUGGGCACUAUUGUCCAGAGGGAACUCCCUUCCCAGUUGCCUGCCCGGUCGGGACCUUGAACAACAGCACAGGUGAGCGUGACUUCACCCCCAGGUUUCUCCUGUAGUCCACAGUGGUGGGGGACUUGGUUACAGGCAGCUGUGGUGCAGGGAUGCCCCUUGGUCACUGCAGGUUAUUGAUACGCUCAGCCAAGCCUGAUAACGGCGAUGUGUUAUCCAUACAAGUAAUGCUUAUGAAACUGAUUGUCCUGGAGAUGCUUCCAUGUCUGCUGCCACUGAUCUGGAGUUCUUCUUUCUUCCUCAGGUGGUAGCUCUCCAGAGAGCUGUGUGCCGUGCUAUCCUGGGUCUUUCUGUGCUAGCCUUGGUUUAAGUUCUCCGACAGGACCCUGUACUGAGGGGUUUUACUGCCCAGCAAACUUCAGCUCGUUCAGCCCCACAGCAUUCCUUUGCCCUAAGGUACUGCUGAGUGAUGUCUGGGCAGUGAAAGAGGUGCGCCUCAGCUCUGGGCAGGAGGCAUUUGUCUUCCACUGGUGGCAGACUCUCAUACGUGCCUGAUUGAAAUGUUGAUUGCAUUCCCAGGGAGUAUUACCCCAGGCUUUGGUAAUGCUGGGAUUCACCCUUACACAGCCCCUAAGUUUGCCACCAUCUCUUCCUUCUCUGUUAUUUCCAGGGUCACUUCUGCCAGUCAGGGGCAGCCCAGCCAGCACCGUGCCCUCCUGGGGAAUACCAGCCAGCCAGCGGCUCUGCGUCCUGCAUUCCGUGCCAGAGAGGAUUCUACUGCCAGGACCUGGUGGCAGGAGACCCCAGGCGCUGCCCACCUCAUUCUUACUGCCCCCCAGGCACACGGUUUCCUCAGACCUGUCCUGAAGGCACCUUUACUCCUCCAAACAUGACUGGCCUCUGGAAUGAGAAGGAAUGCCUGCCUUGCUUACCUGGCCACUACUGCAGGUAGUGACUGUUCAUCUCAAUCUGGUGUUUUUGCACUUUGUCUUAAGCACUUAGGCAUCCUUGUUUUUUGCUGAUAAGUCAAUGCUAAGUUCCUCCCAGCUUCUCUAUCUUCUCUCUCUCAAAGAAUUAAUUAUAAGCCCAGACACAGCUUUUGGGUACAGAGGUGUUGGAUCUGUGAAUUUGGAGAGAGAUCUUGAAGCAGUCUGGCAUUGCCAUGAUGUAAUAAAGGUAAAGGAGCAUCUGAAAGAGAG